rnacentral:rRNA from 1 species
CCUACGGGCGGCAGCAGUGGGGAAUAUUGGGCAAUGGGCGAAAGCCUGACCCAGCAACGCCGCGUGAAGGAAGAAGGCUUUCGGGUUGUAAACUUCUUUUGACAGGGAAGAGCAGAAGACGGUACCUGUCGAAUAAGCCACGGCUAACUACGUGCCAGCAGCCGCGGUAAUACGUAGGUGGCAAGCGUUGUCCGGAUUUACUGGGUGUAAAGGGCGUGUAGCCGGGCUGACAAGUCAGAGGUGAAAGCCGGGGGCUCAACCCCCGAACUGCAUUUGAAACUGUUGGUCUUGAGUAUAGGAGAGGCAGGCGGAAUUCCUAGUGUAGCGGUGAAAUGCGUAGAUAUACGGAGGAACACCAGUGGCGAAGGCGGAUUGCUGGACAGUAACUGACGCUGAGGCGCGAAAGCGUGGGGAGCAAACAGGAUUAGAUACCCGAGUAGUC